rnacentral:snRNA from 1 species
AUACUUACCUGGCAGGGGAGAUACCAUGAUCACGAAGGUGGUUUUCCCAGGGCAAGGCUUAUCCAUUGCACUCCGGAUGUGCUGACCCCUGCAAUUUCCCCAAAUGUGAGAAACUCGACUGCAUAAUUUGUGGUAGUGGGGGACUGAGUUCGCGCUUUCCCCUA